CUACGGAGGGUGCAAGCGUUAUUCGAAAUCACUGGGCGUAAAGGGUGCGUAGGCGGUUUGAUAAGUCUGAUGUGAAAUCCUAUGGCUCAACCAUAGAACUGCAUUGGAAACUGUCAGACUAGAAUACUGAAGGGGCAGAUGGAAUUAGUGGUGUAGGGGUAAAAUCCGUAGAUAUCACUAGGAAUACCGAAAGCGAAAGCGAUCUGCUGGGAAGUUAUUGACGCUGAGGCACGAAAGCGUGGGGAGCAAACGGGAUUAGAUACCCUAGUAGUCC
rnacentral:rRNA from 1 species